GCAUUUUACCAAAAAGGCUUAGCUGCCAUCCACUUGCUUGAAAAGACCAGUAAGUUUUUAAUAAUUUUAAAGCAGAAAGAAUCUGAAAUUAAAAUUAAAGUAAGCACAGAAUUCUCUCAAAGCAUAAUGCAAGAUCGCAUUGAAAAAGUACUAUCGAGUGAAAUACAUUGACAUGAGGCACAAAGCUAUUUAAAUAUUCAGAAAACCCAAAGAAUGUUCAGAUUUCAGAGGCUGAAAGUAGAAAGUCAGAGCUGUGUUCUUGACACGAGAAAUUCAAUGGGAAGACGUGCAAUGCGAAGCAGCAAAGGGGCGCCUAGCAAAUCAAUUUUAGUGUUAGACGGAAGGUAGAGUAUGUCUGCAUGAACGGAUACAGUGGCUAAGCACAGAGCAAUACUGUAUAAUGAAAAAGGGCGCGAGCGAGCAGGCGUCUGACAAGCAGCGAAACGUACCGCAGCCUGGCCGGGGAACACAGACCUGUCAAGACAACAGUUUGGAGAAUUAGAAAGUGAACUCCAGCGGAAGCAGAAAUGGAGUAAUGCACUAUUUACAUCCCUGAAGUUUUCCGUUGCGUCCCCAAAAGCGUGUCCUAUGCCGUCUUUUCCAGCUGUCGAAGAUGAAGCAGCUAAAAUUAGCGGUUAGAUGAUGAAAAAGAUGACGGAUAAAAGUCGAACGCCAUCUUUUCAAACGUGUGUGACUCGACGGAACAGGUAGCCUGGCAGCUUUGGGUUCUGUGUUGGUGACGGAUACCCCCACCCGCAGCCACUCGUGAUCUGUUGUAGCUGUUCAUGCGACUGAAAUAAUAGCACAGGCAUCGCAGACUUGCGGAAUUUUCUUCUGGAAGGUGUCCAAGAGACCGAUUUUUUUUUUUUUUUUUUUUUUACAUUUUGCAGUUGAAAAAACCGUUCCACAAGUGAAGGGACUGCUGUAACAUCUUUGAAAGACUGGAUUAUUCUGGGAGAGAAAUACCCAAUUGACUUCAAAACAAACAAAUAGCAGUUGGGUGGGAUCACAGAAGCAUAUGCACCAAAAAAUACAUAAAGCCAGAGUGCUUUCAGGGUAAAUGGCAUGCUAAUGGAAUUUCAUUAUGGAAAAACUUAUUUUUACAGAAUACUAAUUGGCUCAUUUUCAUCAAAUGUAAAAUAAGUACUAUUUUUAAGAUGGGUUUUCAGAACAUUCAAUGUGGAAUGUUUUUCGUUUUUUCUUUCUUUCUUUCAGCUCUUAGUGGACAGUUUGUACAGAAAGGAACGUUUCCUUUCUGCUUCUGUUCCUAGCUUGUAAAUAUCUGUGCCUUCCAAGAGGUUCUUAUUUUUAUUUAAUUCGGGAUAUCUUAAAUAGGUGAUCGGUUACUUCAAUCAGUAAAAUCCCAUAUGAACAAGAACAAAAUUAACCAAAUUAGAACAAUGAGAAACAAUUCUAUGUCAUAACAUUGUUUUUCCUUAAGAAAAAAAAAAAGCCUUGGUAAGGCAAUCUUGAACAGUAGUUCAAGUUAGCCUAGUGUUAACCUAGAGUGAAAAAUAUGCAGUAGAAUGCGCUUUUUGUUGUAAUAUUGAGGCUGAAAAUGUUCAUGAGACAAAUUAGAACUGAAAGUAAAACACAAUCAUUUUAUAUCAACACAAUAUAAUAUUGCAUCUUGGGUUUUUGUAGUAUAUUUACAUAAGCAAGGCGGUUGACACGUAUGUUUAUCAAGUCACUUCUUUCAGACAAAUCUUUGACACUCUCAGGCAGAGUAUACUGUGGGG